UUUUCAGGUGUGAGGAAUGCAUAAAGGCUU
rnacentral:piRNA from 1 species